rnacentral:rRNA from 1 species
UACGAAGGGGGCUAGCGUUGUUCGGAAUUACUGGGCGUAAAGCGCGUGUAGGCGGUCUCGCAAGUCGGAUGUGAAAGCCCACGGCUCAACCGUGGAAGCGCAUCCAAAACUGCUUCGCUGGAGUCUCGGAGAGGAAGGUGGAAUGCUUGGUGUAGAGGUGAAAUUCGUAGAUAUCAAGCAGAACACCUGCGGCGAAGGCGGCCUUCUGGACGAUGACUGACGCUGAGACGCGAAAGCGUGGGGAGCAAACAGG